CUUUCAAUAGCUUACCUAUAUUCUCAAAGAAUGGUUGCCAUUGACUUAAUUUUUUAAUUUAAUUCAAUUUUAACUUUACUGAAAUUACAUUUUAAUAAUUUACGAUGAUCUCUGUUUAACAAGCUGUAAACUUUAUAGGCAUAUCUGUCUUUAUCUUAGCAGCUACAGAUGGCUGAUCCCAACUGCUAGCAACUUUUACAAAAUAUAAAUCAUAAGUGGGUAGAAAUGAUCCUUUGGAGCCCCUUCUUAUGUUAAUCUACAGGUGUUUGCGUUAUAUAUGUAUGUUUCAAUGUUGGAGUCUCAAGAUCUCAAAAAGCCUUAGUGAAAGCAUCUUUAGAACCAAAUAGAAGUGUUCUGUAUUUUAACUGUCUUCCAUUUGAAAAUCAAAUCCAGAACAGGCUAUUGCAGGACCUAAAAAUUUAUAUAACGUAACCCUUGUUUCUGUCAUGCUCCAUUAUUUAUGUACUAUAUUCCGCCACCACUGGUUAAUUAACUCCCUUUGUCCUUGGUAUCCAUGUGGGUGUUACUACCAGUCACAUUUUACUCCUAGGCACCUUGGAAAAAUGAGUAUGUGAAUGCUAUGCCUACACACGUUCUGCAUACAGAUCAGGUUGCACGCCACUAAAGGAAAGCAGAAUGUAAGGCAGAGCUUCCCUGAUGAGACAAGAGAGAAUCUGUUAGUCCUUCUGGCUCAGAUGUAAUCCACUGGAAAUAAUCCUCCUGUUCCUGAUUUUUGGAAAACAGAGGCUCAGCUCUGAUAUGCUGAUGGGCACCAGGUCAUUUCUAAAGAGAGCCAUCAUAGAUGUGAUCACAGCACAGCUCUGUGGCAGUCCUACGUUAACGCUUACCGUAAGUUUUUGGGAUGGGUUGUCAGCUUCUGAUAGGCUCAGUGACAGUUGUUUUGCUCAUUAGGUGUUAUCUGAAUAAUCAGAAUGAUUCUGUGUACUGCUGCUUAGUGCCCCCCAAAAUAGCUCCUGAGCUGGACAAUCUGAGUGAGCCAAGACUGGUAUGAUAUCAGCAUCCCUUCUACUCACUCUGGAAGAGUGAGACUGAGCCCCAAAUACAUUUUGAACCAACCAUCUGAAUUUUCACCCCUCCAUAUCAGCAUCUUUUUCUAAGUAUAAAGAUACGAAGUGUGCUCAGCAGCAGCUUGUACUUUUUACAACUCUGAAGUAUGUGUUCUUUACAAAGAUAAUUUCAUAUAAAUGUUAGGGCUUUACCGUUUUAAUCAUUUUCGGAUAUUUUUUAGUUGUCUUUUAGAUGCACGCUUUCAUACAUUUGUUUUCUGUAGAUUAGACAAAUAAAUGGCUGUUCUUAUUUUUUUAAAUCUGUCCC
rnacentral:lncRNA from 12 species